rnacentral:rRNA from 1 species
GAUGAACGCUGGCGGCGUGCCUAAUACAUGCAAGUCGAGCGAACAGACGAGGAGCUUGCUCCUCUGACGUUAGCGGCGGACGGGUGAGUAACACGUGGAUAACCUACCUAUAAGACUGGGAUAACUUCGGGAAACCGGAGCUAAUACCGGAUAACAUGUUGAACCGCAUGGUUCAACAGUGAAAGACGGUCUUGCUGUCGCUUAUAGAUGGAUCCGCGCCGCAUUAGCUAGUUGGUAAGGUAACGGCUUACCAAGGCAACGAUGCGUAGCCGACCUGAGAGGGAGAUCGGCCACACUGGAACGGAGACACGGUCCCGACGCCUACGGGAGGCAGCAGUAGGGAAUCUUCCGCAAUGGGCGAAAGCCUGACGGAGCAACGCCGCGUGAGUGAAGAAGGUCUUCGGAUCGUAAAACUCUGUUAUUAGGGAAGAACAAAUGUGUAAGUAACUAUGCACGUCUUGACGGUACCUAAUCAGAAAGCCACGGCUAGCUACGUG